CCUAACCCAAGUGAUGGUAAUAGGUUGGGCCUUUGGGAAGUGAUUAGGUCAUGAGGGUGGAGCCCUUAUGAAGGGCUUAAAAAGCCCCCUUACAAAAGAAACCUCAGAAAGCUCACUAGCUUCCUUUCACCGUUUGAGGACACAGCAAAAAGACAGCUCCUAUGAACCAGGAAGUGGGCAUUCAUCAGACACAGAACCUACCAGUGCCUUGAUUUUGAACUUCUCAUCCUCUGCAACUUGCCUCCAAAUUCCUGUUGCUUAGCACAUGAUCUUCCCUUCUGAAGAAAACCUUCUUUCUUCUCUCUGGAGGACAGAUAUCGAUGUUGCAGGUCACCUUCUGAAAAGCCAUCUCUUGAUCCCUCUCAGGCCCAAGAAAUCUUCCAGUCAUGCCGUUGACUCUUUAUUGUGGAUAUUACAAAUGUUUUGACACAUCUUCAGGGUCAGUUUACAAAGAAAACGGAUUCUGCAUCCUCCUCAAAGGUAACUUUGAAGUCAAUGAGGCAAAUGGAUGAAAGAGAGGAGGGAAUGAGACCAUGGUAACAGUAAGAGCCUACUGAAACAAUUCAGGCAAGAGAUGACCAAACUGUGCCUUGUGGUAUUAGUUAGUAGAUAAAAUAAACAGAACAGGAAAUAUCCCCUAGAUAAUUGAAAUGAACACUUUCAAAUAGUUAUUGUAGAAUGACAUGAAAAGUUUACUAUAAGCAGUGUUUGAGAUCUAUAAAAAUUAAAGUUAUUAAACACCAAUAAAGUGAAGGAAUCUGAAACCUUCACGUUUCAUUAUGUGUCUGAAAUUAAAUGAAAAUAUCCUUCCACUUUCAUUUUAUCAGCAAAACAAGAGAUGUAGAGAAGAAUGGUUAUAGCACAAACAUAUUUCUCUAUUGUCUUUUUCCCCCCAAGGACAGUAAAGACACAGUGCUGUGCCCACAUACUUUUGUGUGAUUACAUAUCCUCAAUUUAUACUUAGGACUUUAAACACCAAUGUGCUCAUGGGGUGAAAAAGAACAAGUAGUGAAGCUAUCACUCUGAAUUCCCAGAAUUUUUACUCUGAAAUAUCAGUUAGCAGUCACUUGGCGUGAAUUCUCACUCUAAAACACCAGUUAGUAAUCACUUGGCUUGAAUUCAAUAUAUAUAUUCUAUUGUGUGUUGUGAAAAGCUACAGAUAGGAUUGAUGACUUUUGGUACUAGAGUCAUAAAAAAGUACUCAGUAAUUUAUAUUAUAAGCCCCCUUAUUAAUGGAAGGUUAGGAGAAUGUUGUUUUGACAGUAGAUAAAAGGUAUUUUAGUGUGCAUUUAUGUUGUUCAGUUGGCCAAUAUUUGCUCAUUUGGACUUUUAAAAUAAGGAUAAAGAACAUUUUAAAAGCUAAUGGUGUUCAUAUUUACUAGAAAGAUUGGGAAAUAUAGCAACUAUAAAUAAUAAAAUAUCAUUUAUAAUCCCUCCAUGCAAAUAUAUCCUCAAUUAAUAUUUACAUUAUAGCAUAUUUACUUUUAGUCACAUAUACAUGAAUAUUUAAUAUGCUUGCAAUCACACUGUCUAUAAUAUUGUCUGUUUUGCUUUUAUCAUAUUGUGAGAACACUUCAAAAUUAUAAAAAUCUAUUUGAUUCUCAUUUAAUAGCCAAUUAACAUUCAAAAUUAUGACAUGAGAUUUGGAUAUAUUAAUUUGUAGCUAAGCCUGGAGAUGUUUCCAAAUACUUUUGGUAAUGUAAAAUAGUUCUUUGAGGUUCAUUUUUCUAUGUACAGUUCUCUUCUCAAAUCUCAGAUUAUGUCUUUAAAAUUGAAAUUCUGACAUAAAAUUAAGUGAACUCUUAAAAAUUUCUUGCUGUUUACUCCCAACGGGCAUUCUAGAAAGUCUAUAACAACAUAUAGUCUAACCAAGAGCUUAGUUAAUUGAAAUUAUUAUCUUUCCCUUUUUAUAAUUAUUUGACUCUUAAUACAUUAAUCAUUUAUUCUAUGAAUUGUUAGUUAAUAUCUCCUUAAGUAAUAUUAUCUAAAUGUGCUAAUGCUUUAAUGAUAGGUUGAACCCCAUUUUUACAUUAAAAGUAUUAUCACCUUUUUAUAGAUA
rnacentral:lncRNA from 1 species